rnacentral:rRNA from 1 species
AGCAGUCGCCACGGGAAUACGAAGGGGGCUAGCGUUGUUCGGAUUUACUGGGCGUAAAGCGCACGUAGGCGGACUUUUAAGUCAGGGGUGAAAUCCCGGGGCUCAACCCCGGAACUGCCUUUGAUACUGGAAGUCUUGAGUAUGGUAGAGGUGAGUGGAAUUCCGAGUGUAGAGGUGAAAUUCGUAGAUAUUCGGAGGAACACCAGUGGCGAAGGCGGCUCACUGGACCAUUACUGACGCUGAGGUGCGAAAGCGUGGGGAGCAAACAGGAUUAGAUACCCCAGUAGUCCCUGUCUCUUAUAA